GCUGGUGGCGAUAGCGAAGAGGUCACACCCGUUCCCAUGCCGAACACGGAAGUUAAGCUCUUCAGCGC
rnacentral:rRNA from 1 species